AGAAUAAAGUUCAUACAAUUUUAUUUGAUAAAAUUAGGAAGAAAAGCAGCGAGGAAAUAGAAUCAUUUGCUGAAGCAGACAAGUGUUUCUGGGCAAGCCUUUAUCACAACGAAGCUACUCAUGUUGGCAAGGGCCCGCAGCUGUCAAGGUCAACCCCAAAUGUCAGCACCCAGGAGGAAAAUGAGGAAAGACUCAUGUAGCCAGCACACACGGAAUCAAUAGAGGCAUUAGAAUAAACACAGAUAUAUAGAUGACAAGACAGGCAAGAUUAAAUAUUUACCCUGUGCCUGAGAUAAAUGUGUUGGCAGAACACCGAGGCUAGGGAGACAUUGGAUAAUUUGCUGUGUCAAUGGGGCCAGAUGGGGCCAGAUGGGAAGCGGUGGCUGCCUCUCCUCUGACAUUGUCACUGUUCCCUCAUCCUUGGCCUCAGAAUAACUUCCCAGCUUACAGCAAUGUCUUCCCAGCUCGUGGCUGAGCAUGUGAUUAUGUGUGUUCUGACUAAGUAUGUAUCUUCUAGGGAUUGCACUAUCAGGGCCUACGGGAAUCAUGGUCAGGCCAUUUCAUUACCGGAAUGACACAGUCCAUGGGUCAUGUUGGGUAAGGAAUUAUUAAGAAAAGGACCAUAGACACUCCCCAUCAAUUAAAUAAGAGAAGUUAAAUGGCUUCCUGCAUGCUGGGUACAUACAUAGCACUCGUGGUCCACUGGCUCCCUGUGGGGAAGGGUUUUUGUUGCCUGACCUUUUCUGCAGGAAAUAAAGCUCAGACAGAGGAGCUGCCACGUCCUCGUUUCUCAUCAUGUGACCCCACCUUCCUAUUGCCUCCUCCAUAGCCUCUCCCCAUCUCCCUCUCUUAGAUCACAAUAGUGUCUUAACCUGUUUCUACUUCUAUUCUGUUUCCAGGGACAAUCACAUGGAACACCUUUGAGUUAAAGGGUGUUUAUUUUAAAAAAAAAUUUUUUUUUCUUUCUUCUGGAGUCUUAGCCAGUCAGUAUUCAUCCAGUUUAUCAUUUUACCCUUAUUUUUGUUAAGGCCUGAAUGGAAAUGUUAAGGCCUAGGUAACUGUUCCCUGGCUAGCCUGCCAUUUUGUGCUAUUACUAAUAUUAUAAACAAACUUUCUUAUAGGUUGUUUCUGCUGUUACUAGGAAACUUUCUCAUGCCCAAGUUGAUUGCAUACUCUGUUAUGUUCUGUGCCCUUGGAAACUAAUCAUGAUAGAAGUCAGCAGAACUGCUUUGUAUAGGUACCCUCAAUAAGCUUUGACCCAUACAUACAUCUAGUGGUACUUCCUGCAUCUCUGUAUACACUUUUAUGGUAUUUGCCUUCCUGGGCUGCCACUGAGAUGGACCCCAACAUGAGAGACACAUACAUCUACUUAGAAUAAGACUUCCAUUUUAGCCAGGGAUCGGUUAAAGUUUAAGUUCCCAAGACCUCCCUGGGAACUAACAUCAUACUUAGCAGAAAGAAACAUGUACAUGGAUGUACUGGCUAGUUUUGUGUCAACUUGACACCGCUGGAGUUAUCACAGUGAAAGGAGCUUCAGUUGAGGAAAUGCCUCCAUGAGAUCCAACUGUAAGGCAUUUUCUCAAUUAGUGAUCAAGGGGGAAAGGCCCCUUGUGGGUGGGACCAUCUCUGGGCUGGUAGUCUUGGGUUCUAUAAGAGAGCAGGCUGAGCAAGCCAGAGGAAGCAAGCCAGUAAAGAACAUCCCUUCAUGGCCUCUGUUUCAGCUCCUACUUUCUGACCUGUUUGAGUUCCAGUCCUGACUUCCUUGGUGGUGAACAGCAGUAUGGAAGUAUAAGCUGAAUAAACCCUUUCCUCCUCAAUUUGUUUCUUGGUCAUGAUGUUUGUGCAGGAAUAGAAACCCUGACUAAGACAAUGGAUAACUCACAUCCUGAUUGGCAAGUUGCAACAAAAAUAUUAAACAAGGCAAGUUCCCACACAGUUAAAUACCCCAACAAAUGGGAACAGGAUAAAUAUACAACAAAGACAUGUCCCUAAGGAAAUCUCCUAUCCCUACAUCCUGAUCGGUGAAACAACUCAACACAGACGUUUGUGGAUUUUAGACUCUAAGAUCCUAUAGAAUCUUAACUCAGUGCCAUGGUUACAUUCUAGAAGCUGGACCGUAGCCCUGAUCGAUCAGUCCUGGGGUGUAUGAUCAAUAAACUAUCCCUGUC
rnacentral:lncRNA from 1 species